rnacentral:rRNA from 1 species
UACGGGGGGGCAAGCGUUGUUCGGAAUUACUGGGCGUAAAGGGCUUGUAGGUGGCCAACUAAGUCAGACGUGAAAUCCCUCGGCUUAACCGGGGAACUGCGUCUGAUACUGGAUGGCUUGAGUGUGGGAGAGGGAUGCGGAAUUCCAGGUGUAGCGGUGAAAUGCGCAGAUAUCAGGAGGAACACCAAUGGCGAAGGCAGCUCGCUGGGACGGUACUGACGCUGAGGCGCGAAAGCGUGGGGAGCGAACAGG